GUGUUGGUCAUUCAUGAAACUUCUUGAAUUAGCGGUGGUUGCAUGACGUCAUCAUCUCAUCUCCACCACCGCCAGUAAAGCUUUUAAAACCACAGUGAAGCUUCUUUAAUUUGAUUUUGUACUUGCUGUAUAGGGAUGUCUUUCACCAUCAGACUUCUUGAACGGAGCAUCUAUAUUUCAUCAUAAAUUACAACCUGAGGAAGUUGAGUCAAGUUGAAGAACGACUCUUUGUCAGACCAAUUUUCAUAAAUCGCCAACUCUACUGAAUCAUCUUCAAGGAUAACUCCAGAAAUCCAUCAAACCUUACCAUCUUUUAUUAGAGAUACUUUACCCAAUACGCCAUGAUAGCGGCUCAUAAAGAGAGGUUAAGAUUGAAUUUAUGGUGAAAUAAGUUUCUGGUCAAUAAUCAAACGGGGUUGAGACAGAGCAAAGCUGUGAAAGGCUGGUGAUGAAAUACAACUAAAACUCGCACCCGGUAUCAAGACCAUGAUUUAUUAUCUUCAAUCAAACUGAGAGAAAGAGAUGAACUUGAGGCUCUGCUCAGAACUGAUGAAGAAGCACUUCAAAAGUGCAAAAGAGAUGAAUCUGGGAAAAAAAAAGAGAAAGCAUGAGAGAUGAUUCUCUGAAAAAAAUCAAAGGAAAUGAGAAAAAUAAUGAUCGCAAGAGAGAAAAUCUUGGAAACAAUUUUUAGAUGGACAAGUGAUGAUUGAAUACAUAUCCUC
rnacentral:lncRNA from 1 species